GACGAACGCUGGCGGCGUGCCUAAUACAUGCAAGUCGAGCGGACCAAAGGGAGCUUGCUCCUGGAGGUUAGCGGCGAACGGGUGAGUAACACGUGGGCAACCUGCCUGUAAGACUGGGAUAACAUCGAGAAAUCGGUGCUAAUACCGGAUAAUAAAAAGAACUGCAUGGUUCUUUUUGAAAGAUGGUUUCGGCUAUCACUUACAGAUGGGCCCGCGGCGCAUUAGCUAGUUGGUGAGGUAACGGCUCACCAAGGCGACGAUGCGUAGCCGACCUGAGAGGGUGAUCGGCCACACUGGGACUGAGACACGGCCCAGACUCCUACGGGAGGCAGCAGUAGGGGAAUCUUCCGCAAUGGACGAAAGUCUGACGGAGCAACGCCGCGUGAGUGAUGAAGGUUUUCGGAUCGUAAAACUCUGUUGUUAGGGAAGAACAAGUGCCGUUCGAAAGGGCGGCACCUUGACGGUACCUAACGAGAAAGCCAACGGCUAACUACGUGCCAGCAGCCGCGGUAAAGU
rnacentral:rRNA from 1 species